GAUGAACGCUGGCGGCGUGCCUAAUACAUGCAAGUCGAGCGAACGGACGAGAAGCUUGCUUCUCUGAUGUUAGCGGCGGACGGGUGAGUAACACUUGGAUAACCUACCUAUAAGACUGGGUUAACUUCGGGAAACCGGAGCUAAUACCGGAUAAUAUUUUGAACCGCAUGGUUCAAAAGUGAAAGACGGUCUUGCUGUCACUUAUAGAUGGAUCCGCGCUGCUUUAGCUAGUUGGUAAGGUAACGGCUUACCAAGGCAACGAUGCAUAGCCGACCUGAGAGGGUGAUCGGACACACUGGAACUGAGACACGGUCCAGACUCCUACGGGAGGCAGCAGUAGGGAAUCUUCCGCAAUGGGCGAAAGCCUGACGGAGCAACGCCGCGUGAGUGAUGAAGGUCUUCGGAUCGUAAAACUCUGUUAUUAGGGAAGAACAUAUGUGUAAGUAACUGUGCACAUCUUGACGGUACCUAAUCAGAAAGCCACGGCUAACUACGUG
rnacentral:rRNA from 1 species